rnacentral:rRNA from 1 species
UAGGAGGUCAGCAUGCAGAUUCAAUUUUCUGCCACCGAAUACAUUAGCAUGGGAUAAUGGAAUAGGACCCUGUCCUCCUAUUUUCAGUUGGUUUUGGCAGCGCGAGGACUAGGGUAAUGAUUAAUAGGGAUAGUUGGGGGCAUUAAUAUUUAAUUGUCAGAGGUGAAAUUCUUGGAUUUAUGAAAGAUUAACUUCUGCGAAAGCAUCUGCCAAGGAUGUUUUCAUUAAUCAAGAACGAAAGUUAGGGGAUCGAAGACGAUCAGAUACCGUCGUAGUCUUAACCAUAAACGAUGCCGACCAGCGAUUAGGAGACGUUGAAUACAAAACACCACCAUCGGCGCGGUCGUCCUUGGCGCGUUCGUGUUCACGCACGGGCGCGCGAGGGCGGUUUAGCCCGGUGGCACCGGUGAAUGACUCCCCAGCGCUUGAAAAAAA